GCAGCAUAUAAGCCAUAUAUGGCUUUUUUUCAUCCUGUUAAAAGACAAGCACAGAUCCAACACUGAAAAUACUGCAGUUGACAAGAGAGACCUCUGUACUGCUGAGGUUUACCUUCCAAGGUUGUUAGACAGCAACCAAAGUAAUGGAUAUAUCCACGAGGAAAAGAGCAAUAAAUGAAAAUAAGGUAAUGUGACAGAGUGACUGAUGGAAAUCUAGGCAGUGUCAGAGUGACCCCUCUGACAUUUCAGCAGAAAUUUGAAUGACAAGAAGCAGAUAACCAUAGAAACUAUUGGGGGAAGAAGACUCCAGAUGUAGGACACAGCUAUCACAGUGGUCUUAAGACAGAAAUGAACACAAAAGGCUGGCAGAGCUGGAAUAUGGUAAGCCAUAGUAGGAAUGGAAGGAGGAAAAUGCCUAUAGAAAGAUAGGCAGAGGCCCUGAGGAAAGAUGGUACUGGCCACUAUAACAAGUCAGGGUGUUCUUCCAUACGAAGUGAAACCAUUAAAAGUUUUCAAGAGGAAUGUAAGAUAAGAUCUAAUUCCAUUUUAUAAAACUUCAAUCAGUCUGUUCUAUUGAGAAUUGAUUAUUGGGGCCAGUCUUACUGUGAUCAGGUAAGAGAUCAUUCAUACAGGAGACUUGACUAGAAUUUUAAUAGUAGAUAGUAGAGAAGUGUUGGGAAUUGGGAUAUGUUUUAAAGGAAGAUCUGGUAACAUUUACUAAUAGAUUAGAUGUGGGUAACUAAAAAAAAGGAAUCUAGAAUAAUGUCUAGAUUCUUUAGUUUGAACAUGAAUGAUGGAAGUAGAUGAUAGCAAAUAACAAGAGUAAGGUGGGGGGACUUUACAAUCCUCUUUGGUCUGUAUUAAAUUCAUCCAUUCUGCUCCAUAGUGUCCUGGAUUUUAGACUGAAUUUCCCUGAUUUGCUCAGAAGGCUGAUAACUUAUAAUAUACCAUCCUCUUGCAUAAUCCCCCCCAACAAGCAGUUCAUCUAUUUUGGACUCUUCCAAAAUCUGGACUGUGUUAUCUGACCUUGACAGAUAGCAUUUGGUGGCCGGGGGACUAGAGAGGGAAAGUGGUAUAGGUAUUUGAGACUUUUAAGGAACACUAAGAUAUUUAACUUUGGGAAUUUUUAAAGGCUUAGGGUUAUAGAAUGAAGUUUCAAUGGACAGAAAUUUAGACAUUAAGAAAUGUGGCUAGUUUUGACCAAAAAAUAAAAAAAGAUAAUUGAGUUUGGAGUUGAUAUGUUUGAGAUGAAGGCAGAAGAUGUUCAUAAUAUUAUUCUUCAUGAGUUAGAAACAUGUUGGUAUGUAAAGUUCUUUAUUCCUGGAUUUACAAAGAAGAAUAUUGUAGAAAGUCAAUCUCACUAUUAGAGCCAUUGGUCAUGAGAUCUAUAUAUAAUCCCGAACUUUCAAAAACAGACAGCUUUUAGGCACUUAUGUCAUUUAUGUCAAUUUAAUUCAGCAGUAUUUGAUGUUAGCCCCCAUAUAUCAACAGGAGACUUUAUUUACAAAGGAUUCACCAGGAGGCAUUAAAUAGGAAGAAAAUUAAAUGAUGAGCUCACUGAUGAAAACACAAUGUUAAUGAGACUCUUGAGGAUCACAAUCUAUUGCAUUAAAAUAAGGUAUAACUCUGUCUAGAGUGUUGUAUUGUUUUCUGAGGAAUUUUGGACAAACAUUUCCUGCUUUGUUCAGAGGAACAACAGUGGAUGUCCUCUUUCAUUCUCAUGAGUUGACUUAUCUUUUUCAGGAAAAUAAUAAAGAAAAAAAAAGUCCUUUUUAAACUAAAAAUUGCCUUCUUCUGAUGAAAGAAGCCCCAGAAGGGUUAAGAAAAUUUACCACUGUUGAAAAUUUACUUCAUUUUUUUUACAGAUUAUUUUGAAUCUGCUCUAAGAAAUGUGUCUGUCCUCUCUAAAUGCAUGGUGGAAAUGGUUCAUUGAGUGUUAUGAAAAGAAAGUUUAGUCUCAUUUCCUAAGCAGACUUUUUAACCUGACAUUGCUAAAUGGGGAAGAAUUCUUUGGGAUUAUGGUGUAUGUUUUGAUAGAGAUCCUGAAACAGCUGGUUAUUUUCAGUCAUUUUCUCACUGUGGGAAGAUACUGCUGCUGCAUGAGGCAAGGGAGAUAGAACCUGGCUCUCCAUAUAAAACUAGAAGAAAAAAGUGCCAGAAAAUUCAAGAAGAAAAUUCUAUUUUAUAUUUCAGACACACAUAUUUUACUAUUCUGUUCAUAAAUGUGCAUUUGAUCAUGUGUAUUUAAAUGACAAAAAUAACGACUAUACUAGGACUAUAUCAGGUUCUGAAAAUCUGAGGGAUUUUAAAGUCUCCACAUGGGUAGAAUUUUGGGGGCCCUUUAGUUAUUUUCAUGAUCGAGGAUCUGGAAUAUUUAACAGGUCUUGAACCCACCUUCUCUUAAGGUAUAGGGUGCUGCACUACUUGACACUCCCUUUCAAAACCUUAAUCAUUUCAUGGUGCGAUUUCUGUGAAUUCACUGUGUGGUUUGCUCUGGGCCAUGAGAAACACAUCCAUCAGGUACAGUUCUGAUUGCGCACAGGUAGAUGGUUUAUAGACUGUUAGCCCGUCCUGCUGCUUUAGAUUUGAAGAAUUACUCUACAAGAACAAGGCAGGUUCUAUUUUUGACAUUUCAGCAAUGAGACCACUUGUACAUUAUGGCCUGAUUUGAUUUACUGUAAGAAAAUAAGAGUGCUGUAAUUUGUAAAAGACAUUUAUUACAUGAGUCCAAAAUUUAAAAAAAAAAUGCUUAGUGUCUCUGUCCAUCCCAUCUGGUUUUAUUUUAAUCUCACUCUAGUCACAUAUGAAAUUUUGCUUAGCUGUCUUCAUUUUCUUAGUCAAUCUUGAUUAAUGGCCUUCAAAGUAAAAAUAAUUGGCCUGCAUCAGGGUUGUUUUAUAACUCUUGUUCACAAAGAAUGUGAGAGGCUGGAAAAUGAGCCUAAACAGAAGGAAUGCAUUACGUUCGUCUUUGAGAAAGAGCAGUCCUUUAGUCGUGUUGCUCUGUGUAUUUUUAUAACAGGCGCCUCCUUGACCGUCCACGAUAUUGCAGAUAUGCUGUGCCAAAGCUUUAUGUAUACUUCGUCAAGCUGACCAUGGCAGCUCCAUGGCUCCACGCAGCCACACAUGUGAGGGCAGAACGAACCCAGGCCAGCCUAGCAAGAUGGAGAAUUUCAAAAGUAAAUUAUCAAGAAAGCUGAGGCUUUGAACCCCAGAAGUUAAAACCGGGCAGGGGGCUAAUUGUCUCUGAAGUUUAAAUGGCUUGUUUAUAAAAGGCUUCUCCAGCAUGUAUAUUUUUUUCCCCCUUUCCUGAAAAGUGUGUUCAAACUUUAAAGGAGUUAGGGGAAAUACAAGCGCCCUGUGACCAUUGUGGGUUUGGAAGUGAGCUCUGUUUCCUUUCAAGAUCUCCAUUUCUGGGAGAGCUCGUCAGUUAAAGAAAUAAAUUUUAGUUCAAAAAAAGAAAACAACCACACACACACUCUGAGAAGAUAAUUUCUUUCUUACUUCAAGUUUUGUAAAUGGAUAUAUUAUAAAUGGGUACAAUAUGGCUCUUUAAAAAAAAAGCUAGUCAUUUUAUGAUUGUACUGAUGAGAAAACUAACAUCAAAAUCUUUCCAGUUUUUCGAUCAUCCCAAAACUAGGUUCAGUUACCCAGUGAUUUUUUUUCAGGAAAUUCACAUGUUCUGAUGUUGGUAUUUUAAAAACAAUUAAAAUUCCCUCUAGGAUCCAAUUGGUGUUGAAUAUAUAUGGAAUUACACCAGCCUGCGCUCACACACACACACACACACACACAUACACCAUGUCCCAGCCCGGACAAGCUGGCAUUCAGCCAGUACUCUGCUAGGAACCAUCAUUUCCUUUCCCACACAGCCCAAAGGCUGCUCCUUCAGGGGCAGGCUAAAAGGUAGAAGGGUGGAGUGCAGUUGGUAAACUGAGGGAAAAACACUUCAACAGUUUCACUUAAGUAACAACUAUAGUAGAGCUUUGAUUAAAAACCUACAUGAGUCAAGCACAGUAGUGCAUGCCUGUAAUCCCAGUGGCUCAGGAGUCUGAGACAGGAGGAUCACGAGUUCAAAGCCAACUUCAACAACAGCAAGGUGCAAAGUAACUCAGUGAGACUCCGUCUCUAAAUGGAAUACAAAAUAGGUUACAAAAUAGGUUGGGGAUGUGGCUCAGUGCUUCAGUGCCCCUGAGUUCAAUCCCCAGUACCAAAACAAAACAAAACAAAACAAAAAACAACAAAAAAAACCCAAGCUCUGUGUUUUUAUAAAAGGAAAGUAAGUUCUCUUUUAGUUGGAGAAGGAUCCUUAUGACAGCAAAAUUGUAACCAUGAGAAAAAAUUGGUCUGAGAAUUCCAGCCCAGUCCCUGACCCAUACAUUUCAUGUUUUUCCAGCCAGGCUUCUUGGGCCUCUCACUUUUGCUUGGGUUUCUCAGGUGCUGCUCCUUCCUACAUAGUUCCUUCCAUUUCCUCAGCCUCUACUUAUCUUCUUUGACUCUUGAGCCCUUGGAUUCUCUCCACGUGUCUCGCUUGUUCUCAGAGUCUGCUGAUCUUUGAAGAGAUGAGACUAGGAAUUUCCUGGCUGGUGAUUUGCAUUCCCUUCUUCCAUGAAUCAUAGGAGAGUUUCAUUUUUCAUAACAAUAGGGCAAUCACAUAAUUUCCCAGUCUAACACACACCCUCAAUGCGCACCCCUUCCCCAUGAAUCCAUAAUGUAGUCUGAACGCUUUAAGUUCAUGAGUUUUAUUGUUUUCUGAAAUGCAUUGAAAUAGUUGCUCAGAUUGAGUAUAUAUCAGUGCAUAAAGCACUUCAUACAAUUUCAUAUAAUAUCAGAUUUAUGCUAAACAAAGAAUAAAUAUUUUGUUUAUCUCAAUAAUCCUUAGUGCUAAGAAAUGUAUAUUUUUGUCUUCGCUUUAUAGAUAAGUGAUAGGCUUGGGAAAUUAUGUAGGCAUCUGUUUUAAUCCAAGACCCAUUUUGUUACCUUCUAUUCCAUGAUUUCUAUACUUGGUCCUAUUGGCAUUUGAGACUGAAUAAUCCUUUGUAAUAGAAGUUGUUGUACCUAUUGUAAGGUGUUUAAAAAUAUCCCAAAUUUCCACUUGUCAGAUCCUACUGUCACCCUCCCCCAGGUAUUGUCAACCCCAAAAUUCUCUAGAUAUUGCUUCUCUAAAACAGAGUAGUACUAUACAGAUAUUUUUCUCUGUUACCUGUGUAACUUAACUGAUACACAUAAAGCCCUAAGGUCAGGAAGGCUUGUUUGACAGUGUUAUCAUCAAAUCACAGUAAAUCCCAAGAAGUGGGGGGCUGGGGAUGUGGCUCAAGCGGUUCGAUCCUCAGCACCACAUAUAAAGAUGUUGUGUCUGCCGAAAACCAAAAAGAUAAAUAUUAAAAUUCUCUCUCUCUCUCUCUCUCUCUCUCUCUCUCUCUCUCUCUCUCUCUUUAAAAAAAAAGAAGUGGGGAGAAGAUGCAAUGGAUCCUCAGAGGAGCUCUGAGAAGUCCCAAUGUGUGAGUAACCAUCCUUCUCUCCAAGGACUUGUCAAAAGCCACGUAGGAUUUUUGAAAGUGAAACCAAUGGCUGUGACUAUAUCAUUACAGAUUCAAGUUUAUGAACCCAUUAGAGGAUCCAGGCUCCCACUUAUUUUUCCAAGGAAGAGUUAAAAUAACACGUGGCUCAGAAGGAGAAGAGGACAUAGGUCUGCAUCAGACCACGUAGAUCUUGAAAGAGUAUGGAUGAGUGACUGGAAACUUCUAGUGGUGCUCUCAAUCUUCUCCCAGGUCUGAGGCACAUUAACCCAGAAGACUUCUAAAUCUCUUUUCCCUCAACCCAACCAGUAAUAUACCCAGAUGCCAUGCUUACUUUUUUCGGUCAACUUUCUUAACCUCACUUUCUGUGGAUUCCAACUCUCCAAUUACAAGUCUUUCUGUCCUCAUCUGGUAUUUUCACAAGUGCAAAAAUGAGGUUCACUUUCCAAAAGGGGUUUUCACAUUAGUUUUUCAUGCUCUGGGUUGGGGCCUUGUGUGACACACAUCUAAUUCAUCUAGCAUCUUCUCCAAAACAAUAUUACAUUUCAUGACUAUACCACAUUUUCAGAACAGAAAGAAUACCAGGCCUACUACUACGAGGAGCUUGCAAAAUUGUACCGGACCUC
rnacentral:lncRNA from 1 species